CGCACAUUGCGCCCGCCAGUAUUCUGGCGGGCAUGCCUGUUCGAGCGUCAUUUCAACCCUCAAGCCCAGCUUGGUGUUGGGGACCGGCCCAAACCCCCCUCCCUCCCUCCGGGGUGGGUGGCGGGGCGGCCGCCCCCGAAAUGAAUUGGCGGUCUCGCCGCAGCCUCCUCUGCGUAGUAGCACAAAAACAACUCGCAACGGGAGCGCGGCGCGGCCACUGCCGUAAAACGCACACAACUUCUUUUAGAGUUGACCUCGGAUCAGGUAGGAAUACCCGCUGAACUUAA
rnacentral:misc_RNA from 1 species